rnacentral:rRNA from 1 species
GAUGAACGCUGGCGGCGUGCUUAACACAUGCAAGUCGAACGAGAAGUGAAGACGGAAACCUUCGGGCGGAAGGCUUUAUUUCGAGUGGCGGACGGGUGAGUAACGCGUGGGUAACCUGCCUCAUACAGGGGGAUAACAGUUGGAAACGACUGUUAAUACCGCAUAAGACCACAGCACCGCAUGGUGCGGGGGUAAAAACUCCGGUGGUAUGAGAUGGACCCGCGUUCGAUUAGCCAGUUGGCGGGGUAACGGCCCACCAAAGCGACGAUCGAUAGCCGAUCUGAGAGGAUGACCGGCCACAGUGGGACUGAGACACGGCCCAAACUCCUACGGGAGGCAGCAGUGGGGAAUAUUGAACAAUGGGGGAAACCCUGAUGCAGCGACGCCGCGUGAGUGAAGAAGUAUUUCGGUAUGUAAAGCUCUAUCAGCAGGGAAGAAAAUGACGGUACCUGAGGAAGAAGCCCCGGCUAACUACGUG